UACAGAGACUGCAAGCGUUAUUCGGAUUCACUGGGCGUAAAGGGUGCGCAGGCGGCCAAGUGUGUUAGGCGUGAAAGCCCGGGGCUUAACCCCGGAAUUGCACCUAAAACUACAUGGCUAGAGCAUUGGAGAGGGUAGCGGAAUUCACGGUGUAGCAGUGAAAUGCGUAGAUAUCGUGAGGAACACCAGAGGCGAAGGCGGCUACCUGGACAGAAACUGACGCUGAGGCGCGAAAGCUAGGGGAGCAAACAGG
rnacentral:rRNA from 1 species